rnacentral:rRNA from 1 species
GUGGGGAAUCUUGCGCAAUGGGCGAAAGCCUGACGCAGCCAUGCCGCGUGGAUGAUGAAGGUCUUAGGAUUGUAAAAUCCUUUCACCGGUGAAGAUAAUGACUGUAGCCGGAGAAGAAGCCCCGGCUAACUUCGUGCCAGCAGCCGCGGUAAUACGAAGGGGGCUAGCGUUGCUCGGAUUUACUGGGCGUAAAGGGCGCGUAGGCGGACAUUUAAGUCAGGGGUGAAAUCCCGGGGCUCAACCUCGGAACUGCCUUUGAUACUGGGUGUCUUGAGGAUGAGAGAGGUGUGUGGAACUCCGAGUGUAGAGGUGCAAUUCGUAGAUAUUCGGAAGAACACCGGUGGCGAAGGCGACACACUGGCUCAUUACUGACGCUGAGGCGCGAAAGCGUGGGGAGCAAACAGGAUUAGAAACCCGAGUAGUCC